GUCACCGCAAUUUGUGCCCCCCCGGGGCAGUUAUGGGGGGAAAUUUCCGUUCCGUGCUGCAGGCGCUGAGCGUGGUGCAAUGGAUGCUGACCUUCCUCUUCCUCGGGCCGGUGUCGCUGCUGGUGCUGCUGGCGCUGCUGAGGACGCGGCUCUGGAUCCUCCCGGUCACCUACGGGGGGUGGUGGCUCUGGGACUGGAACGGGCCCGACACAGGGCCGCGGCACUGGGAUUGGCUCCGGAGCUGGCGCGUCUGGGACCAUUUCUGUGACUAUUUCCCCAUCCGGGUACCGGGAACUGUCCCCAGAUG
ensembl:lncRNA